rnacentral:rRNA from 1 species
CGUAUGGGGAAUGCCUAGGCUCUCAGAGGCGACGAAGGACGUGAUAAGCUGCGAAAAGCUGCGGGGAUUGGCACACACGAAUAGAUCCGCAGAUAUCCGAAUGGGGCAACCCGGCAUGUUGAAGACAUGUCACAUCGAUAGAUGAGCAAACCCGCUGAACUGAAACAUCUAAGUAGGCGGAGGAGAAGAAAACAAAAGUGAUUGCGUAAGUAGUGGCGAGCGAACGCGCAGAAGCCCAAACCAAAGUUGUUACGGCAAUUUUGGGGUUGUAGGACCACGAUAUUGUAUGCAAAGCGAAUAAGAAUCAUCUGGAAAGAUGAACCACAGAGGGUGAUAGUCCCGUAUUGGUAAGCAAUGUAAUACAUAGUGGUAUCCUGAGUAGGUCGGGGCACGUGAAACCUUGAUUGAAACCGGCGGGACCAUCCGCCAAGGCUAAAUACUCCUGAGAGACCGAUAGUGAACCAGUACCGUGAGGGAAAGGUGAAAAGAACCGUGAAUAACGGAGUGAAACAGAACCUGAAACCAUACGCCUACAAGCGGUCGGAGCUUCUUCGUGAAGUGACGGCGUGCCUUUUGCAUAAUGAGCCUACGAGUUACCGUUGCUGGCAAGGUUAAGUACUUCAGGUACGCAGCCGAAGCGAAAGCGAGUCUUAAUAGGGCGAUGCAGUCAGUAAUGGUAGACGCGAAACCGUGUGAUCUACCCAUGGGCAGGUUGAAGUUUGGGUAACACCAAAUGGAGGACCGAACCGGUUGACGUUGAAAAGUCUUCGGAUGACCUGUGGGUAGGGGUGAAAGGCCAAUCAAACUCGGAAAUAGCUCGUACUCCCCGAAAUGCAUUUAGGUGCAGCGCUGAUAUAGUUUAAUAGAGGUAGAGCUACUGAUUGGAUGCGGGGGCUUCACCGCCUACCAAUUCCUGACAAACUCCGAAUGCUACUAAAUGAUUUACAGCAGUGAGGGCAUGGGUGCUAAGGUCCAUGUCCGAGAGGGAAAGAACCCAGACCAUCAGCUAAGGUCCCCAAAUGUAUGCUAAGUUGAAAAAACGCGGUUUGAUUGCCCCGACAGCUAGGAUGUUGGCUUGGAAGCAGCCAUUCAUUUAAAGAGUGCGUAACAGCUCACUAGUCGAGCGAUCGAGCAUGGAUAAUAAUCGGGCAUAAGCAUACUACCGAAGCUAUGGAUUUAUAGUAAUAUAAGUGGUAGGGGAGCAUUCUAAACCGGGUAGAAGGUGAUUUGUGAGAAUUGCUGGACUGUUUAGAAAAGAAAAUGUAGGCAUAAGUAACGAUAAUGCGGGCGAGAAACCCGCACACCGUAAGACCAAGGUUUCCGCAGCUAUGCUAAUCAGCUGCGGGUUAGUCGGGACCUAAGGCACACCCGAAGGGGGACGUCGAUGGCCAACGGGUUAAUAUUCCCGUACUUGUAAUAGUUGUGAUGGAGUGACGCAGUGGUGAAAGUACCGCGAACUGACGGAAUAGUUCGUUAAAGCACGUACCUAUAUCCUUUAUAGUAAAAUGCGUAGAGGAUGGAGAAAUGCGAUAGUACACGGAGCCUUCGGGCAAAGUGAUAGUGUACCUAAAGGCUGUCAAGAAAAGCUUCUAAACUUAGAUUAUUACAACCCGUACCGCAAACCGACACAGGUGGUCGAGGAGAGUAUCCUCAGGUGCUCGAGAGAUUCAUGGCUAAGGAAUUAGGCAAAAUAGACCUGUAACUUCGGGAGAAAGGUCGCCAGCAGCAAUGCUGGCCGCAGUGAAAAGGUCCAGGCGACUGUUUAUCAAAAACACAGGGCUCUGCCAAAUCGUAAGAUGAAGUAUAGGGCCUGACACCUGCCCGGUGCUGGAAGGUUAAGAGGAGAUGUUAUCUUCGGAGAAGCAUUGAAUUGAAGCCCCAGUAAACGGCGGCCGUAACUAUAACGGUCCUAAGGUAGCGAAAUUCCUUGUCGGGUAAGUUCCGACCUGCACGAAUGGUGUAACGAUCUGGACACUGUCUCAGCCAUGAGCUCGGUGAAAUUGUAGUAUCGGUGAAGAUGCCGAUUACCCGCAGUGGGACGAAAAGACCCUGUGCACCUUUACUAUAGCUUAGUAUUGUUCUUGGAUAAGUGAUGUGUAGGAUAGGUGGGAGACUGUGAGCCGGGUUCGCUAGGAUUCGGGGAGUCAUUGUUGAAAUACCACCCUUUGCUUAUCUGAGAUCUAACUCGAUAUUGUUGAGGACAUUGCUUGGUGGGUAGUUUGACUGGGGUGGUCGCCUCCAAAAGAGUAACGGAGGCUUCUAAAGGUUCCCUCAGCACGCUUGGUAACCGUGCGUAGAGUGCAAUGGCAAAAGGGAGCUUGACUGAGAGACCUACAAGUCGAUCAGGUACGAAAGUAGAGCAUAGUGAUCCGGUGGUUCCGCAUGGAAGGGCCAUCGCUCAAAGGAUAAAAGGUACGCCGGGGAUAACAGGCUGAUCUCCCCCAAGAGCUCAUAUCGACGGGGGGGUUUGGCACCUCGAUGUCGGCUCGUCACAUCCUGGGGCUGGAGAAGGUCCCAAGGGUUGGGCUGUUCGCCCAUUAAAGUGGCACGCGAGCUGGGUUCAGAACGUCGUGAGACAGUUCGGUCUCUAUCUACUGUGGGCGUUAGAAAUUUGAGUGGAUCUGAUUCUAGUACGAGAGGACCGAAUUGGACUAACCUCUGGUGUAUCAGUUGUGCCGCCAGGUGCAUCGCUGAGUAGCUACGUUGGGAAGGGA